rnacentral:rRNA from 1 species
CGCGGUAAAACCAGCACCUCAAGUGGUCAGGAUGAUUAUUGGGCCUAAAGCAUCCGUAGCCGGCUCUGUAAGUUUUCGGUUAAAUCCGUACGCUCAACGUAUGGGCUGCCGGAAAUACUGCAGAGCUAGGGAGUGGGAGAGGUAGACGGUACUCGGUAGGAAGGGGUAAAAUCCUUUGAUCUAUUGAUGACCACCUGUGGCGAAGGCGGUCUACCAGAACACGUCCGACGGUGAGGGAUGAAAGCUGGGGGAGCAAACCGGAUUAGAUACCCGGGUAGUCCCAGCUGUAAACUAUGCAAACUCGGUGAUGCAUUGGCUUGUGGCCAGUGCAGUGCCGCAGGGAAGCCGUUAAGUUUGCCGCCUGGGAAGUACGUACGCAAGUAUGAAACUUAAAGGAAUUGGCGGGGGAGCACCACAAGGGGUGAAGCCUGCGGUUCAAUUGGAGUCA